UUCAGAUCAGGGUGUCCAAUCUCACAAAUACCAUUUUGGCUAUAAAAUGAGACAUUCCAUUGACCAUCAAAACCCAAAUCAUAACUAAAAGGACAGAAAGAGUCUGCAAAUCCAUACAUUAUAUAUAACAAACCUUCAACAUGGCAGAAGAACCUGCUCAAAGGAAAAUGGAAUGGCGAGAGCUUGUUUUUGUAAAAUUUUCUAUUGCUGCUGCGAUCAUAGAAAAAGAAAACCCUGAUGUGAAGGCUAUCAAAAUCCUAGCUGGUACUCCUAGACUUCAUAGUUUUGAUGCUACACGAGUUUGGGUUGAUUGCAAUAUAGAAGAUGUGGUUGUUCUAAUCCCUAUAGUUGGUUAGAGAUUAGGUAAUGUAUAAGGUCAAUCAUAUAUGUACGAUGUUUACGUGUAUGUUAAGUGAAUUGUAUACUUAUCGAUGCCCUUCAAUUGUACUAAUUAAUAAAGUAUUUCAACUGAUCAUCGUUUCAACAAUAAAAUUAUAAUCAUUAUCAA